rnacentral:sRNA from 1 species
AUGUAUUUAUUUUCUGUAGAUUGCUUUG